UGAACCACCAAGCCAGCAGAACAGCGGGGGCCUCAUCGAGUCAAUUGCAUACAUAACUUGAGAAUCCAAACAAUCAGUAAUUAUUAUAAUCUGAAAGAUGAGCGAAAGAUAACAUCCUGUCACAAUUUUUCUCAGCCAUACUCAGUAUGGAACUCAAGUUGUCGAACUCAGACACACAAAUUUGGGCAAUCAAGAUUCUCAGACGGUGGUUUCCACUCCCACAUGUAAACAUGAACAAUCC